UCUCUCUCUCUCUCUCUCUCUCUCUCUCUCUCUCUCUCUCUCUCUCUCUCUCUCUCUAAAGCAUACUAUCAAAGAUGUUUGUCCAACGUGUUUGUUAAAAAAUUGCCGUAGAUUGAAAUGGAUGUUUGAUCAAACAUCAGUAUGCUUGCCGACAACGUCCAUGCAACAUGAGCCAUAAGAAAGCCUGCAUAGCUAUUCUUUUAGCUAUAGCCACUGAAAAGCCAAAUAAACGAAAGAGAGUAUGGAUGAAGGAGUGGUAUAACAAAAAAGGAAACUAUCUCAUGACUGCCUGUUGAAGAAGGUUAUAACAUCAUCCCAGGGCUAUAAGAAUUUCCUCAGAAUGGACCAUGAUACCUUCUUGAAUCUAUUGACAAUGGUUGGACCCCUAAUUGAGAAGAGAAACACUAAACUUCGGGAUGCUAUACCAGCAAGUGAAUGACUAACAAGUACACUUCGCUUUCUUGCAACAGGAGAUUGAUUUGAAGAAUGAAAUUUAGUAACUGUAUUUCACCCCAAAGUCUUGGAUACAUUGUAAUGGAGACAUGUGAUGUCAUCGUGUCAGCUUUAAAGGAUUACAUUAAGGUGCCUGCAAUGGAGGAACAGUGGAAAGGCGUAUCAAAGACGUUUGAACAGCUAUGGAAUUUCCUACACUUUCUAGCUGCAAUCAAUGGGAAACAUGUAGAGAUAACAAAGCCACCUUGAUCUGGAUCAUACUAUCACAACUACAAACAUACAUUCAGUGUCGUUCUACUGGCUAUUAUGAACGCUAAUUGUGAAUUUAUGAUAGUAAACAUAGGAACGAAUAGGAGGGUUUCUGAUGGAGGUGUUUUUGCAAACACGACAUUUAGCAAUAAAUUGAGGGAAAACA